rnacentral:rRNA from 1 species
UGCCCAGGGCGACACACGUGCUACAAUGGCAUAUACAAUGAGACGCAAUACCGCGAGGUGGAGCAAAUCUAUAAAAUAUGUCCCAGUUCGGAUUGUUCUCUGCAACUCGAGAGCAUGAAGCCGGAAUCGCUAGUAAUCGUAGAUCAGCCAUGCUACGGUGAAUACGUUCCCGGGUCUUGUACUCACCGCCCGUCACACCAUGGGAGUUGAUUUCACUCGAAGCCGGAAUACUAAACUAGUUACCGUCCACAGUGGAAUCAGCGACUGGGGUGAAGUCGUAACAAGGUAACCGUAGGAGAACCUGCGGUUGGA